rnacentral:rRNA from 1 species
CCGUCCCAAUUCGUCCGUCCGUCCAUUCGUCGAAAGGGAUUAGCCCCGGCUCCACGCCAGCGCGCACCGGCACCGCCGAUCCAGCCGCGCCGCUGCCGCUGCCGCCGGCGCCCUCGACCGGAGGCCUCGGAAGGAGAGCAGCCGCGCCAGGAGGGAGAAGAUCCAGGCGCGCCCCGGCGUAAUCCUGCCGUGCAAGGCUCUUCCUGCCGAGACGAAUCGUGCGUACCUGCGCCGCGCCGGCGAACCAUGUCGUCGUCCGCGCUGAGGGCCGCGGGGCAGAGGGCGGGGGCGGCCGCCCGGAAGCAGGCGCUCACCCUGACGGAGGCCGCGGCGGCCAGGGUGCGCCACCUCCUCGACCUCAGGCAGCGGCCCUACCUGCGCCUUGGCGUCAAGGCGCGCGGCUGCAACGGCCUGUCCUACACGCUGAAUUACGCCGAAAAAGGGAAGUUUGAUGAGCUUGUUGAAGAGAAAGGUGUAAAAGUACUGAUUGACCCCAAGGCCCUGAUGCAUGUGAUCGGCACCAAGAUGGACUUCGUUGACGAUCCACUGAGGUCAGAGUUUGUGUUCAUCAACCCGAACUCGAAAGGGGAGUGUGGAUGCGGUGAAUCUUUCAUGACUACGGGCAGCAAAGGAUCUACGUCAUGA